UUAAAUGAGAGUUUGAUCCUGGCUCAGGACGAACGCUGGCGGCGUGCCUAAUACAUGCAAGUCGAGCGAGCUUGCCUAUUGAAAUUCUUCGGAAUGGACAUAGAUACAAGCUAGCGGCGGAUGGGUGAGUAACGCGUGGGUAACCUGCCCUUAAGUCUGGGAUACCAUUUGGAAACAGAUGCUAAUACCGGAUAAAAGCUACUUUCGCAUGAAAGAAGUUUAAAAGGCGGCGUAAGCUGUCGCUAAAGGAUGGACCUGCGAUGCAUUAGCUAGUUGGUAAGGUAACGGCUUACCAAGGCGAUGAUGCAUAGCCGAGUUGAGAGACUGAUCGGCCACAUUGGGACUGAGACACGGCCCAAACUCCUACGGGAGGCAGCAGUAGGGAAUCUUCCACAAUGGACGCAAGUCUGAUGGAGCAACGCCGCGUGAGUGAAGAAGGUUUUCGGAUCGUAAAGCUCUGUUGUUGGUGAAGAAGGAUAGAGGUAGUAACUGGCCUUUAUUUGACGGUAAUCAACCAGAAAGUCACGGCUAACUACGUGCCAGCAGCCGCGGUAAUACGUAGGUGGCAAGCGUUGUCCGGAUUUAUUGGGCGUAAAGCGAGCGCAGGCGGAUUGAUAAGUCUGAUGUGAAAGCCUUCGGCUCAACCGAAGAACUGCAUCAGAAACUGUCAAUCUUGAGUGCAGAAGAGGAGAGUGGAACUCCAUGUGUAGCGGUGGAAUGCGUAGAUAUAUGGAAGAACACCAGUGGCGAAGGCGGCUCUCUGGUCUGUAACUGACGCUGAGGCUCGAAAGCAUGGGUAGCGAACAGGAUUAGAUACCCUGGUAGUCCAUGCCGUAAACGAUGAGUGCUAGGUGUUGGAGGGUUUCCGCCCUUCAGUGCCGGAGCUAACGCAUUAAGCACUCCGCCUGGGGAGUACGACCGCAAGGUUGAAACUCAAAGGAAUUGACGGGGGCCCGCACAAGCGGUGGAGCA
rnacentral:rRNA from 1 species